CCAGGCCCUACGGGGUGCAGCAGGCGCGAAACCUCCGCAAUGUGAGAAAUCGCGACGGGGGGAUCCCAAGUGCCAUUCUUAACGGGAUGGCUUUUCAUUAGUGUAAAGAGCUUUUGGAAUAAGAGCUGGGCAAGACCGGUGCCAGCCGCCGCGGUAACACCGGCAGCUCUAGUGGUAGCAGUUUUUAUUGGGCCUAAAGCGUCCGUAGCCGGUUUAAUAAGUCUCUGGUGAAAUCCUGCAGCUUAACUGUGGGAAUUGCUGGAGAUACUAUUAGACUUGAGAUCGGGAGAGGUUAGAGGUACUCCCAGGGUAGAGGUGAAAUUCUGUAAUCCUGGGAGGACCGCCUGUUGCGAAGGCGUCUGACUGGAACGAUUCUGACGGUGAGGGACGAAAGCUAGGGGCGCGAACCGGAUUAGAUACCCGGGUAGUCCUAGCUGUAAACGAUGCGGACUUGGUGUUGGGGUGGCUUUGAGCUGUCCCAGUGCCGAAGGGAAGCUGUUAAGUCCGCCGCCUGGGAAGUACGGUCGCAAGACUGAAACUUACAGGAAUUGGCGGGGGAGCACCACAACGCGUGGAGCCUGCGGUUUAAUUGGAGUCAACGCCGG
rnacentral:rRNA from 1 species